AUUCGCCCGCCUCGCGCGGCGGGCGGGGCGGGGGCACGGGGGGACUCCUACGGGAGGCAGCAGUGGGGAAUAUUGCACAAUGGGCGCAAGCCUGAUGCAGCCAUGCCGCGUGUAUGAAGAAGGCCUUCGGGUUGUAAAGUACUUUCAGCGGGGAGGAAGGCGACGGGGUUAAUAACCGCGUCGAUUGACGUUACCCGCAGAAGAAGCACCGGCUAACUCCGUGCCAGCAGCCGCGGUAAUC
rnacentral:rRNA from 1 species